UUGUUUUUAGCAAAUGGUUGCUACUGUGAUAUUUCUGCCUUGCUAGCUAGCCAGUAACUGACUAGUCUAUACUGUUAGAUAAAGACUAGCUAUUUGCGUUUCGUUUUUAUCCGUGAAAGCUGCCAUGUUAAGGCUGGACAGUCCAUAUCCAACCAUCUGUCCACUAGUUAUGUAGCUAGCAAAACGAGUUAGCCUCCGGUGCUGCAAACUCUUGAGAUUUGUCUUUUAUUGUUACUUUAAGUCGAUUAGUCAAUCUAGUUUGUAUUUUGAGGCAAACUCGCUGCUGAAGGCAAACAAGCUUAACCUUGUUAAGGCUGGCUGGCGUUAGCUUUUUCUUUUAUCUUAAAACGAAACUUAUCCUAUUUCAUUCAAGCCUGUGUUGUUACCGGACCACCACAGGGUGCAAUGCGACCACAACUUUUAGCUUCUAAUAUUACUGGUAUUUCUCCCUUUGGCUAUUGGUAUUUCUCCCUUUAGGUUAUUUUCAGUUGUUAGACGAUUUAUUAUGGAGACUAUUUGUUCACGUUCUUAUUCCAGAUACACAUGGUCGAUAAAUUAUUACUGGUUUGGAUACAACAACAACAAAUCUAGCCUUGUAUACUUUAACACCAGUCUUCUUUCAGGAUGGAAACAAUGCAGCGAAGCCUAGAGUGGGCAAGGGGUACGCUCUUGAAUGUUGCUUCAGCAGACGGCCUGAUAGCCUAAGUAUCCGAGUUCAUCGAGGAGAUUCGCACCUAUGGUCGGCAUGCACAACAAGCCAGUUCCGGUUACCAGGCUCCAUUGACUUGGACUGGAGCAAUGGGGGCUCCUCAUUAUCACAUCACCGGAGAGCAGCUGAGGGGUCUGAUGAUGGAUGGAAGAUAUUCUCCACGUGUUCCACUACACUCAAAACCACAUCUGAGAUACUUUGCAUUAAGCUGAGGGCAGCUGCGUCCCAUCAAUGUCGCAGAGGCUGCACAGAAAGUACAGUGUUGCUGCUCUGAAUUCUUGAUGACACAUCGAUGGAAACUACAGACUGACGAUGGAGGAUAGUCAUCCAUGGUGGCAUUGAUGGUCACAGCUGCCAUGUGUUUCUCCACGCUUCCAGCAACAAGUGCAGCAUUACUAAAUGCUGAGGCCAGACAGUCCGUCCAGGCUUAGAACAGGAUCUGGUAGAAGCUAGAUUUUUGUGAUUGCCACCUUUUGAAUUGGAUAACCAUGGACCAGAACAAGAUAAUCAAUGUUUUCCUGCAGUAGUGAAUGUAUGUUACUGCUCUACAUUAAAUUAUAAAACGAGAAGAAGUGAAUGUAGCUUGUUUUAUAACAAGAUGGGUUGAUGGAGUGAUAUGGAGGGGUGAUUGUCAUUGUUUGUUUAC